rnacentral:lncRNA from 14 species
UCUGAGGGCUCUUUGCAUCCUCUCCUUGCAGAGACACCACAGUGAUUCCCAAAGACUCAUCACUGCUACCCUCAGCCUCCAGCCUCGCUCCUGUAGUGACUUCUCUGCGGUUGACCCAGAGCAAACUGGGAGAGCACAGUUCUGCCACAGCAGGCUUGGGCUGCACCAUGAAGACACACAUGGAAACCAGUGGCGCCGGAUGUUGGGAAGCGCUCUCCUGGCUGCAAAAAGCCUUGGAGCAAAGAGCACUCUGGGAAGCGCUUCCCAUGCACGGUCAAGCUCAGCUCUGAGCAGAGUGGCACAACUGGAAAGCAAAAUCGUGAAUCGAAGAAAACAGCUGGAAUUGCAAAACACCGACUUGGGCCAGAAGCCUUUGAGUGAGGAGUCCCUCUCCUCUGCUUCCAGUCACAAACCCAGUGCAAAGGGCAAGAGAUACCUAAAGAAUCAUGCUACUGCCAGUGAAUAUAUGACCCUUGGCAAUGCCUGCUCUAAGGAAGAGGAAAGCAUCCAAAGCCCUAAAAGGAAUGUUACUGUUAAACAACAACUUCAUUCGGAUAGUGAUGAAGAGGAAAUGAGAGAACUGAUGGAGUGUUCAAGUGUAAAUGAGAAUCACAGGGUUGUUGCAAGCAAUUCUAAAUGGGGCCCAAAGAGGAAGACUCCAGUUUCAUCAGGAAUUCCUCCUCCAUCUCCCAAGGAAAUUUCACUGACAGAGGGAUCUAAAGCAUCUUGUCUUCACAGCAGAUACUCAGAGAGUAGAACUGGUUCACCAGCCAGAAACACGUCACUACGACAUAACGUGAGAUCUCUGUCACUGUCAUCUUCCAUGAAAGACAGUACUGUGAAGAUUACUCUGCCUAGAACAGGCAACACCAAGCAAAGCCAGAAAUCCCUGGAAAGUGACAGAAGUGAAAUCACCUCAUUAGAUGAGUUGUUUUCAAAAGCAGCUGAUGCAGAAGAUUCAGCUAACAGCAGCUCUGAUGACUUCAGACUGAAUAUCCUGAGCCUUGAUGAUUUAGCACCAAGUAUCACCAGUGAGGCAGCGGAAUUAAAACAGCAAGUAAGUAGGACUUCCCUACUAGCAUGCAUUUCUGCCUUUGUUUGGGGGAUAUUCUAG